rfam:Ovis aries breed Texel chromosome 5, whole genome shotgun sequence.
UCCCUGGGAGUCUAGGGGCUAAGACUUCUUGCUCCCAAUGCAGGAGGCCCGGGUUCAAUCCCUGGUCAGGGAA